rnacentral:rRNA from 1 species
UACGUAGGGUGCAAGCGUUGUCCGGAAUUAUUGGGCGUAAAGAGCUCGUAGGCGGUUUGUCGCGUCUGCUGUGAAAACUCAGGGCUUAACCCUGAGCUUGCAGUGGGUACGGGCAGACUAGAGUGCGGUAGGGGAGACUGGAAUUCCUGGUGUAGCGGUGAAAUGCGCAGAUAUCAGGAGGAACACCGGUGGUGGAAGGCGGCACUCUGGGCCGAUACUGACACUGGAGGAGCGAA